CCUACGGGAGGCAGCAGUGGGGAAUUUUGGACAAUGGGGGAAACCCUGAUCCAGCAAUGCCGCGUGUGUGAAGAAGGCCUUCGGGUUGUAAAGCACUUUUAUUCGGAGAGAAAUCCCUUGGGCUAAUACCCUGAGGGUCUGACGGUACCGGAUGAAUAAGCGCCGGCUAACUACGUGCCAGCAGCCGCGGUAAUACGUAGGGCGCGAGCGUUAAUCGGAAUUACUGGGCGUAAAGCGUGCGCAGGCGGUUUUGUAAGACAGAUGUGAAAGCCCCGGGCUCAACCUGGGAAUUGCAUUUGUGACUGCAAGGCUAGAGUGUGUCAGAGGGAGGUGGAAUUCCGCGUGUAGCAGUGAAAUGCGUAGAGAUGCGGAGGAACACCGAUGGCGAAGGCAGCCUCCUGGGAUAACACUGACGCUCAUGCACGAAAGCGUGGGGAGCAAACAGGAUUAGAUACCCUGGUAGUCCACGCCCUAAACGAUGUCAACUAGUUGUCGGGAAUUAAAUUCUUGGUAACGCAGCUAACGCGUGAAGUUGACCGCCUGGGGAUACGGCCGCGAGGUUAAAACCUUAAAGGAAUUGACGG
rnacentral:rRNA from 1 species